GGGUUGUGAGGUUAAGCGACUAAGCGUACACGGUGGAUGCCUUGGCAGUCAGAGGCGAUGAAGGACGUGCUAAUCUGCGAUAAGCGUCGGUAAGGUGAUAUGAACCGUUAUAACCGGCGAUUUCCGAAUGGGGAAACCCAGUGUGUUUCGACACACUAUCAUUAACUGAAUCCAUAGGUUAAUGAGGCGAACCGGGGGAACUGAAACAUCUAAGUACCCCGAGGAAAAGAAAUCAACCGAGAUUCCCCCAGUAGCGGCGAGCGAACGGGGAGCAGCCCAGAGCCUGAAUCAGUGUGUGUUAGUGGAAGCGUCUGGAAAGGCGCGCGAUACAGGGUGACAGCCCCGUACACAAAAAUGCACAUACUGUGAGCUCGAUGAGUAGGGCGGGACACGUGGUAUCCUGUCUGAAUAUGGGGGGACCAUCCUCCAAGGCUAAAUACUCCUGACUGACCGAUAGUGAACCAGUACCGUGAGGGAAAGGCGAAAAGAACCCCGGCGAGGGGAGUGAAAAAGAACCUGAAACCGUGUACGUACAAGCAGUGGGAGCCUCUUAAUGGGGUGACUGCGUACCUUUUGUAUAAUGGGUCAGCGACUUAUAUUCUGUAGCAAGGUUAACCGAAUAGGGGAGCCGAAGGGAAACCGAGUCUUAACUGGGCGUUAAGUUGCAGGGUAUAGACCCGAAACCCGGUGAUCUAGCCAUGGGCAGGUUGAAGGUUGGGUAACACUAACUGGAGGACCGAACCGACUAAUGUUGAAAAAUUAGCGGAUGACUUGUGGCUGGGGGUGAAAGGCCAAUCAAACCGGGAGAUAGCUGGUUCUCCCCGAAAGCUAUUUAGGUAGCGCCUCGUGAAUUCAUCUCCGGGGGUAGAGCACUGUUUCGGCAAGGGGGUCAUCCCGACUUACCAACCCGAUGCAAACUGCGAAUACCGGAGAAUGUUAUCACGGGAGACACACGGCGGGUGCUAACGUCCGUCGUGAAGAGGGAAACAACCCAGACCGCCAGCUAAGGUCCCAAAGUCAUGGUUAAGUGGGAAACGAUGUGGGAAGGCCCAGACAGCCAGGAUGUUGGCUUAGAAGCAGCCAUCAUUUAAAGAAAGCGUAAUAGCUCACUGGUCGAGUCGGCCUGCGCGGAAGAUGUAACGGGGCUAAACCAUGCACCGAAGCUGCGGCAGCGACACUAUGUGUUGUUGGGUAGGGGAGCGUUCUGUAAGCCUGUGAAGGUGUACUGUGAGGUAUGCUGGAGGUAUCAGAAGUGCGAAUGCUGACAUAAGUAACGAUAAAGCGGGUGAAAAGCCCGCUCGCCGGAAGACCAAGGGUUCCUGUCCAACGUUAAUCGGGGCAGGGUGAGUCGACCCCUAAGGCGAGGCCGAAAGGCGUAGUCGAUGGGAAACAGGUUAAUAUUCCUGUACUUGGUGUUACUGCGAAGGGGGGACGGAGAAGGCUAUGUUGGCCGGGCGACGGUUGUCCCGGUUUAAGCGUGUAGGCUGGUUUUCCAGGCAAAUCCGGAAAAUCAAGGCUGAGGCGUGAUGACGAGGCACUACGGUGCUGAAGCAACAAAUGCCCUGCUUCCAGGAAAAGCCUCUAAGCAUCAGGUAACAUCAAAUCGUACCCCAAACCGACACAGGUGGUCAGGUAGAGAAUACCAAGGCGCUUGAGAGAACUCGGGUGAAGGAACUAGGCAAAAUGGUGCCGUAACUUCGGGAGAAGGCACGCUGAUAUGUAGGUGAAGUCCCUUGCGGAUGGAGCUGAAAUCAGUCGAAGAUACCAGCUGGCUGCAACUGUUUAUUAAAAACACAGCACUGUGCAAACACGAAAGUGGACGUAUACGGUGUGACGCCUGCCCGGUGCCGGAAGGUUAAUUGAUGGGGUUAGCGGUAACGCGAAGCUCUUGAUCGAAGCCCCGGUAAACGGCGGCCGUAACUAUAACGGUCCUAAGGUAGCGAAAUUCCUUGUCGGGUAAGUUCCGACCUGCACGAAUGGCGUAAUGAUGGCCAGGCUGUCUCCACCCGAGACUCAGUGAAAUUGAACUCGCUGUGAAGAUGCAGUGUACCCGCGGCAAGACGGAAAGACCCCGUGAACCUUUACUAUAGCUUGACACUGAACAUUGAGCCUUGAUGUGUAGGAUAGGUGGGAGGCUUUGAAGUGUGGACGCCAGUCUGCAUGGAGCCGGCCUUGAAAUACCACCCUUUAAUGUUUGAUGUUCUAACGUUGGCCCCUGAUCGGGGUUGCGGACAGUGUCUGGUGGGUAGUUUGACUGGGGCGGUCUCCUCCUAAAGAGUAACGGAGGAGCACGAAGGUUGGCUAAUCCUGGUCGGACAUCAGGAGGUUAGUGCAAUGGCAUAAGCCAGCUUGACUGCGAGCGUGACGGCGCGAGCAGGUGCGAAAGCAGGUCAUAGUGAUCCGGUGGUUCUGAAUGGAAGGGCCAUCGCUCAACGGAUAAAAGGUACUCCGGGGAUAACAGGCUGAUACCGCCCAAGAGUUCAUAUCGACGGCGGUGUUUGGCACCUCGAUGUCGGCUCAUCACAUCCUGGGGCUGAAGUAGGUCCCAAGGGUAUGGCUGUUCGCCAUUUAAAGUGGUACGCGAGCUGGGUUUAGAACGUCGUGAGACAGUUCGGUCCCUAUCUGCCGUGGGCGCUGGAGAACUGAGGGGGGCUGCUCCUAGUACGAGAGGACCGGAGUGGACGCAUCACUGGUGUUCGGGUUGUCAUGCCAAUGGCACUGCCCGGUAGCUAAAUGCGGAAGAGAUAAGUGCUGAAAGCAUCUAAGCACGAAACUUGCCCCGAGAUGAGUUCUCCCUGACUCCUUGAGAGUCCUGAAGGAACGUUGAAGACGACGACGUUGAUAGGCCGGGUGUGUAAGCGCAGCGAUGCGUUGAGCUAACCGGUACUAAUGAACCGUGAGGCUUAACCUUACAACGCCGAAG
rnacentral:rRNA from 1 species